GAUGAACGCUGGCGGCGUGCCUAAUACAUGCAUGUCGAGCGAACCACUUCUGUGGAGAGCGGCGAACGGGUGAGUAACACGUAGGUCAUCUACCCAUUAGACGGGGAUAACGUCUGGAAACGAACGCUAAUACCGUAUAGGAAGAAAUUUUAAAGGUGCUCUCGGUCAUCGCUAAUGGAUGAGCCUGCGUCGCAUUAGCUAUGUGGUAAAGUAAGAGCUUACCAAGGCGACGAUGCGUAGCCGACCUGAGAGGGUGAACGGCCACACUGGGACUGAGACACGGCCCAGACUCCUACGGGAGGCAGCAGUAGGGAAUCUUCGGCAAUGGACGAAAGUCUGACCGAGCAAUGCCGCGUGAAUGAAGAAGGCCUUCGGGUUGUGAAAUUCUGUUAUAAGGGAAGAAAGACUAUAGUAGGAAAUGGCUAUAGAGUGGCGGUACCUUAUGAGAAAGCCACGGCUAACUACGUGCCAGCCGCCGCUGUAA
rnacentral:rRNA from 1 species